UUUACGGUGUGGGUCUAGACCCGAUAGAGUUUGAUCCUGGCUCAGGACGAACGCUGGCGGCGUGCUUAACACAUGCAAGUCGAACGAUGAUGCCCAGCUUGCUGGGUGGAUUAGUGGCGAACGGGUGAGUAACACGUGAGUAACCUGCCCCUGACUCUGGGAUAAGCGUUGGAAACGACGUCUAAUACUGGAUAUGACUGCCGGCCGCAUGGUCUGGUGGUGGAAAGAUUUUUUGGUUGGGGAUGGACUCGCGGCCUAUCAGCUUGUUGGUGAGGUAAUGGCUCACCAAGGCGACGACGGGUAGCCGGCCUGAGAGGGUGACCGGCCACACUGGGACUGAGACACGGCCCAGACUCCUACGGGAGGCAGCAGUGGGGAAUAUUGCACAAUGGGCGAAAGCCUGAUGCAGCAACGCCGCGUGAGGGAUGACGGCCUUCGGGUUGUAAACCUCUUUUAGUAGGGAAGAAGCGAAAGUGACGGUACCUGCAGAAAAAGCACCGGCUAACUACGUGCCAGCAGCCGCGGUAAUACGUAGGGUGCAAGCGUUGUCCGGAAUUAUUGGGCGUAAAGAGCUCGUAGGCGGUUUGUCGCGUCUGCUGUGAAAUCCCGAGGCUCAACCUCGGGCUUGCAGUGGGUACGGGCAGACUAGAGUGCGGUAGGGGAGAUUGGAAUUCCUGGUGUAGCGGUGGAAUGCGCAGAUAUCAGGAGGAACACCGAUGGCGAAGGCAGAUCUCUGGGCCGUAACUGACGCUGAGGAGCGAAAGCGUGGGGAGCGAACAGGAUUAGAUACCCUGGUAGUCCACGCCGUAAACGUUGGGCGCUAGAUGUAGGGACCUUUCCACGGUUUCUGUGUCGUAGCUAACGCAUAAGCGC
rnacentral:rRNA from 1 species